AACGGCUUCACCUAAGGUUCAACAAUGGGUAGGGGGCCUGAGAGGGUUGUCCCCCACACUGGUACUGAGACACGGACCAGACUCCUACGGGAGGCAGCAGUGAGGAAUAUUGGUCAAUGGAGGGAACUCUGAACCAGCCAUACCGCGUGCACCAAGAAUGCCCUAUGGGUUGUAAACUGCUUUUAUUUGGGAAGAACCCUGAUUACGUGUAAUCAGNUGACGGNACCAAUCGAAUAAG
rnacentral:rRNA from 1 species